AGUGAACGCUGGCGGUAGGCCUAACACAUGCAAGUCGAACGGCAGCACAGAGGAGCUUGCUCCUUGGGUGGCGAGUGGCGGACGGGUGAGGAAUACAUCGGAAUCUACUCUGUCGUGGGGGAUAACGUAGGGAAACUUACGCUAAUACCGCAUACGACCUACGGGUGAAAGCAGGGGAUCUUCGGACCUUGCGCGAUUGAAUGAGCCGAUGUCGGAUUAGCUAGUUGGCGGGGUAAAGGCCCACCAAGGCGACGAUCCGUAGCUGGUCUGAGAGGAUGAUCAGCCACACUGGAACUGAGACACGGUCCAGACUCCUACGGGAGGCAGCAGUGGGGAAUAUUGGACAAUGGGCGCAAGCCUGAUCCAGCCAUACCGCGUGGGUGAAGAAGGCCUUCGGGUUGUAAAGCCCUUUUGUUGGGAAAGAAAUCCAGCCGGCUAAUACCUGGUUGGGAUGACGGUACCCAAAGAAUAAGCACCGGCUAACUUCGUGCCAGCAGCCGCGGUAAUACGAAGGGUGCAAGCGUUACUCGGAAUUACUGGGCGUAAAGCGUGCGUAGGUGGUUAUUUAAGUCCGUUGUGAAAGCCCUGGGCUCAACCUGGGAACUGCAGUGGAUACUGGAUGACUAGAAUGUGGUAGAGGGUAGCGGAAUUUUGGUGUAGCAGUGAAAUGUGGAAAAAUCAGGGGGAACGUCCUUGGGGAAGGAAGCUACCUGGAGAGAAUUGCGGUGGGGCACGGAGCGUGGGGACCUAACGAGAUGGGAUAAUUUUGAGGGGGAGGGAUUAACAUGGAUAUCUUGCGGGGGGGGCCGUCCCCCCCGGGGUGGUGGGGGAGUUGUGUUCUUUUUACCUCCACAAUAAAAAAAUACCAA
rnacentral:rRNA from 1 species